rnacentral:rRNA from 1 species
ACGGAGGGAGCUAGCGUUGUUCGGAAUUACUGGGCGUAAAGCGCGUGUAGGCGGCUUUGCAAGUCGGAUGUGAAAUCCCGCGGCUCAACCGUGGAAGUGCACCCGAAACUGCAUCGCUAGAGUAUCGGAGAGGAAAGUGGAAUGCUUGGUGUAGAGGUGAAAUUCGUAGAUAUCAAGCGGAACACCGGUGGCGAAGGCGGCUUUCUGGACGAUUACUGACGCUGAGACGCGAAAGCGUGGGUAGCAAACAGGA